AGUGGACGCUGGCGGUAGGCCUAACACAUGCCAGUCGAACGGCAGCACAGUAAGAGCUUGCUCUUACGGGUGGCGAGUGGCGGACGGGUGAGGAAUACAUCGGAAUCUACUUUUUCGUGGGGGAUAACGUAGGGAAACUUACGCUAAUACCGCAUACGACCUACGGGUGAAAGCAGGGGAUCUUCGGACCUUGCGCGAUUGAAUGAGCCGAUGUCGGAUUAGCUAGUUGGCGGGGUAAAGGCCCACCAAGGCGACGAUCCGUAGCUGGUCUGAGAGGAUGAUCAGCCACACUGGAACUGAGACACGGUCCAGACUCCUACGGGAGGCAGCAGUGGGGAAUAUUGGACAAUGGGCGCAAGCCUGAUCCAGCCAUACCGCGUGGGUGAAGAAGGCCUUCGGGUUGUAAAGCCCUUUUGUUGGGAAAGAAAAGCAGCAGGUUAAUACCCCGCUGUUCUGACGGUACCCAAAGAAUAAGCACCGGCUAACUUCGU
rnacentral:rRNA from 1 species